rnacentral:rRNA from 1 species
GAUUGAAUGGCUCAGUGAGGCCUUCGGACUGGCUCAGGGAGGUCGGCAACGACCACCCAGAGCCGGAAAGUUCGUCAAACUUGGUCAUUUAGAGGAAGUAAAAGUCGUAACAAGGUUUCCGUAGAACAAGUCUUGCAGGAAUGAUUCCUUCCGCAGUGUACACUUGUAGAAGCCUUUGCAGCCACGCAAGUGGUAGAUCUAGGCGACUUUAAAUAAUUCUAGGAUCGCUAUGCAAGUCGGCCCACGCAUGUGGUGCCGGCGACACUUUCGAAUUGACGGGGAUACCCUAAAGCCUGUCGCACCAACUCUACGUGGGAAACCGCUAGAGGGCCCGUGCUAACUACACGGGGUGGUAACAGACGACAUGGAUACCUCCACGCUUUUGGUGUGGAUACUAUGGGCAAUCCGCAGCGAAGCCUCUAAGUCCGGCCGCCGGAUAUGAGGAACGUUCACAGACUAAGUGGAAGUGGGUGGAGCGUUCGCCGCUCUGCUUAAGAUAUAGUCGGGCCCCUUGGGAAACUAAGGGGGUGAGUACACUGCUCGAAAUUCAAACUUGAAGGUGUCUCGGAUGGCGCCUACGUUAGAAUUUCGAGACUGUCAACUGCCUCAUGGUUUGACAGCUCUUAAAACGUUCCGUAGGUGAACCUGCGGAAGGAUCAUU